CCCAGGGCUGACACUGGGCUACCAUAUCCCGUCCCUUCGGGACU
rnacentral:sRNA from 1 species